GUGAGGAAUGGGAACGAGGAGCUCAUUGCAAAGAUGCUGGAAUGUGCCGUGCCACUGGCAUCACCUGAGGCAGAGGGAUCCAGAUAGAUCUGAGCACUGCGCAAUCAGCAGCAGCAUGAAGUUCAACAAAGGUAAAUGCCAGGUUCUGCACCUGGGAUGGAGUAAUGCCAGGCACAGGUACAGGCUGGGAGAUGAGUGGCUGGAGAGCAGCUCAGCAAAGAGGAAUGUGGGGCUGGUCAACAGCAGGCUCAGUAUGAGCCAGCAGCGUGCCCUGGCAGCUGAGAAGGCAAACUGCAUUGGGGUGCAUCAAACACAGCACAGAUAGCCAGUCAAGAGUGAUUUCCCACAUUGGUGCAGCCUCACCUUCAGUACUGUGUGCAGAUCUGGGCUCCACAAUACAAAGAGGACGUUAAGGUCCUGAAAGUGUCCAGAGGAAGGCAACAAAGAUGGUAGCAGGGAUGGAAGGCGUGUCCUGUGAGGAGAGGCUGAGGGCACUUGGGUUGCCUUAGUGUGGAGAGAAGGAGGCCAAGAGGUGAUG
rnacentral:lncRNA from 1 species